GUAUUACUCUCUCCGUUCCGAAUUACUUGUCUUAUAUUUGUCUAAAUACGAUGCAUCUAGCACUCUAGAUACAUCCGUAUCUAGACAAAUUCAAGACAAGUAAUUCGGAACGGAGGGAGUUCUAA
rfam:Triticum aestivum genome assembly, contig: Triticum_aestivum_CS42_TGACv1_scaffold_115072_2AS